AGAGGCGGGAGAAGAUCGAAAGACGGCAGACGGUGUUGGAGACAGAACUGAAGCUUUGGGACCCUCAUAAUGACCCAAAUGCACAAGGAGAUGCUUUCAAGACCUUGUUUGUUGCGCGAAUUAACUAUGAUACUACAGAGUCCAAGCUUCGACGUGAGUUUGAGGUCUACGGCCCUAUUAAACGGAUCUAUAUUGUCUACAACAAGAGGACAGGAAAGCCUCGUGGUUAUGCUUUUAUCGAGUACGAGCAUGAACGAGACAUGCACUCCGCCAAUCUGUGAUGGCUAUUGGCCAGAGCUGGCUGGCAGAUGAUGAUGGUUAUGAUACAUCUACACCCUACUACCACAGCUCAGUAUAUGGUUGGUAUAAUGGGUUUGUAUGAUGGGUAAGAUUUCUUUCCACCCUCCAUCUCCUACAUAGGGAAGUGGAGCGAAGUUCAAUGGGUAAAGCGUCUUCUUGUUGGCCCUAAAGAGUUUUCCUUUAAUGUAAUCUGGAUUUUAGGCUUUGGCCAUUGAACGCUCGCCUGUUUACUAGUCUGCUAAACAGUUUCCCAAUGAUUUUGCCCUUUGUGUUAAAGCCACUUCAGGUGUUCGAGAGCUUGUGGUUUUCAGAAAAGAAGGCUGCGUGAUGAUGGGGAAACAGAAAUUGUUUUAUAAAACUGUCUGAUCUAGCUGCUGGAAUGUUAAGAUAUACUAUUUCUGUGACAGGAUGCAGCUUUUGGCGUGUAGCAUUAAAUUUCAGGAAGUAUGUUAAAAGUCA